GAAACAUCUAAGUACCCCGAGGAAAAGAAAUCAACCGAGAUUCCCCCAGUAGCGGCGAGCGAACGGGGAGCAGCCCAGAGCCUGAAUCAGUAUGUGUGUUAGUGGAAGCGUCUGGAAAGGCGCGCGAUACAGGGUGACAGCCCCGUACACAAAAAUGCACAUGCUGUGAGCUCGAUGAGUAGGGCGGGACACGUGGUAUCCUGUCUGAAUAUGGGGGGACCAUCCUCCAAGGCUAAAUACUCCUGACUGACCGAUAGUGAACCAGUACCGUGAGGGAAAGGCGAAAAGAACCCCGGCGAGGGGAGUGAAAAAGAACCUGAAACCGUGU
rnacentral:rRNA from 1 species